UACGAAGGGGGCGAGCGUUGUUCGGAUUUACUGGGCGUAAAGGGCGCGCAGGCGGCUCAUUUUGUCAGGCGUGAAAGCCCCGGGCUUAACCUGGGAACUGCGUUUGAUACGGAUGGGCUAGAGUUCGGGAGAGGAGAGUGGAAUUCCUGGUGUAGCGGUGAAAUGCGUAGAUAUCAGGAGGAACACCGGUGGUGUAGACGGCUUUCUGGACCGUAACUGACGCUGGAGACACGAAAGCCGUGGGUAGCAAACAGG
rnacentral:rRNA from 1 species